AUCCCAGAUAAAGCUCUCUGUAGUUAUCUGAUUCAUCGGAGGCAGAUAUUGAAAGUGGAAGUUUUCGCUGAUAGCAUCCCUUAAUGAACUUCCAGGAGGUGUUUACUAGUGACUUUCCAAACAUGU